GAUGAACGCUGGCGGCGUGCUUAACACAUGCAAGUCGAACGAAGCAUUUAAGACGGAUUCUUUCGGGAUGAAGACUUUUAUGACUGAGUGGCGGACGGGUGAGUAACGCGUGGGUAACCUGCCUCACACAGGGGGAUAGCAGUUGGAAACGGCUGAUAAUACCGCAUAAGCGCACAGUACCGCAUGGUACAGUGUGAAAAACUCCGGUGGUGUGAGAUGGACCCGCGUCUGAUUAGCUUGUUGGCAGGGUGACGGCCUACCAAGGCAGCGAUCAGUAGCCGACCUGAGAGGGUGACCGGCCACAUUGGGACUGAGACACGGCCCAGACCUCCUAACGGGAGGCAGCAGUGGGGAAUAUUGCACAAUGGAGGAAACUCUGAUGCAGCGACGCCGCGUGAGUGAAGAAGU
rnacentral:rRNA from 1 species